CACGUAGGGCGCAAGCGUUGUCCGGAAUUAUUGGGCGUAAAGAGCUCGUAGGCGGACUGUUGCGUCCGCUGUGAAAAGCUGGGGCUUAACCCUGGCCUUGCAGUGGAUACGGGCAGACUAGAGGUAGGUAGGGGAGAAUGGAAUUCCCGGUGUAGCGGUGAAAUGCGCAGAUAUCGGGAGGAACACCGGUGGCGAAGGCGGGUCUCUGGGCCGAAAUUGACGCUGAGGAGCGAAAGCGUGGGGAGCAAACAGG
rnacentral:rRNA from 1 species